UACAGAGGUCUCAAGCGUUGUUCGGAUUCAUUGGGCGUAAAGGGUGUGUAGGUGGCGCCGUAAGUCGGGUGUGAAAUUUCGGAGCUUAACUCCGAAACUGCAUUCGAUACUGCGGUGCUUGAGGACUGGAGAGGAGACUGGAAUUCAUGGUGUAGCAGUGAAAUGCGUAGAGAUCCGGAGGAAGACCGGUGGCGAAGGCGGCCUGCUGGGCAGUUUCUGACACUGAUGCGCGACAGCGUGGGGAGCAAACAGG
rnacentral:rRNA from 1 species